rnacentral:rRNA from 1 species
UACAGAGGUCUCAAGCGUUGUUCGGAUUCAUUGGGCGUAAAGGGUGUGUAGGUGGCGCCGUAAGUCGGGUGUGAAAUUUCGGAGCUUAACUUCCGAAACUGCAUUCGAUAACUGCGGUGCUUGAGGACUGGAGAGGAGACUGGAAUUCUCGGUGAGAGGUGAAAUUCGUAGAUAUCGAAGAGGAACACCGGUGGCGAAGGCGGC